UACGUAGGUGGCGAGCGUUGUCCUGAUUUACUGGGCGUAAAGAGCGCGCAGGCGGUCGUACAAGUCGCGUGUGAAAGCCCCCGGCUCAACUGGGGAGGGUCACGCGAUACUGUUCGACUCGAAGGCAGGAGAGGGUAGUGGAAUUCCCGGUGUAGUGGUGAAAUGCGUAGAUAUCGGGAGGAACACCAGUGGCGAAGGCGACUACCUGGCCUGUUCUUGACGCUGAGGCGCGAAAGCUAGGGUAGCAAACGGG
rnacentral:rRNA from 1 species